CAGUAAGUAGCUCAAAAGGUAGAGCGCACGGUUUGGGACCGUGAGGUUGUAGGUUCGAAUCCUACCUUACUGA
rnacentral:tRNA from 1 species